rnacentral:misc_RNA from 1 species
AUCGCGUCGCCCCCAACAAAUAUCUGUUGGGGGCGGAUAUUGGUCUCCCGUGCUCAUGGUGUGGUUGGCCAAAAUAAGAGUCCCUUCGAUGGACACACGAACUAGUGGUGGUCGUAAAAACCCUCGUUCUUUGUUCUGUGUUAGUCGCAAGGAAAAACUCUUCGAAUACCCCAACGCGUUGUCUUAGGAUGACGCUUCGA